AGGAUGAACGCUAGCGGCAGGCCUAAUACAUGCAAGUCGGACGGGAUCCGUCGGAGAGCUUGCUCGAAGACGGUGAGAGUGGCGCACGGGUGCGUAACGCGUGAGCAACCUACCUCUAUCAGGGGGAUAGCCUCUCGAAAGAGAGAUUAACACCGCAUAACAUAUGUGACCGGCAUCGGUUGGAUAUUAAAUAUUUAUAGGAUAGAGAUGGGCUCGCGUGACAUUAGCUAGUUGGUAGGGUAACGGCUUACCAAGGCGACGAUGUCUAGGGGCUCUGAGAGGAGAAUCCCCCACACUGGUACUGAGACACGGACCAGACUCCUACGGGAGGCAGCAGUAAGGAAUAUUGGUCAAUGGGCGGAAGCCUGAACCAGCCAUGCCGCGUGCAGGAUGACUGCCCUAUGGGUUGUAAACUGCUUUUGUCCAGGAAUAAACCUAGAUACGUGUAUCUAGCUGAAUGUACUGGAAGAAUAAGGAUCGGCUAACUCCGUGCCAGCAGCCGCGGUAAUACGGAGGAUCCGAGCGUUAUCCGGAUUUAUUGGGUUUAAAGGGUGCGUAGGCGGCCUAUUAAGUCAGGGGUGAAAUACGGUGGCUCAACCAUCGCAGUGCCUUUGAUACUGAUGGGCUUGAAUCCAUUUGAAGUGGGCGGAAUAAGACAAGUAGCGGUGAAAUGCAUAGAUAUGUCUUAGAACUCCGAUUGCGAAGGCAGCUCACUAAGCUGGUAUUGACGCUGAUGCACGAAAGCGUGGGGAUCGAACAGGAUUAGAUACCCUGGUAGUCCACGCCCUAAACGAUGAUAACUCGAUGUUGGCGAUAGACAGCCAGCGUCCAAGCGAAAGCGUUAAGUUAUCCACCUGGGGAGUACGCCCGCAAGGGUGAAACUCAAAGGAAUUGACGGGGGCCCGC
rnacentral:rRNA from 1 species